rnacentral:lncRNA from 1 species
CCAUUGCAACCAAGCUGAAAGGGAAAAAGAUUUCCCCGGUGCCAUAUUGGAUUGGUAAAAACUUCUGGGGUUCGUGGUGGGGCGAAGAGGGAUUUUUCCGGCUUUACAGGGGUGAUAAUCAAAUUGGAGUGUCAAAUUUUGUCACGGCACCGACCUUAACAUAACCCGAGAUUAUGCAACAAUCUCCAAUCGUCACUUGAGUGGAAAAUUUUGAAAUAAAAGUAUGUUUGGGACCAUAUUUUUUAUGACCUCAUUGACCAUAGAAAAGUAAACAAUAUUGUAAUGUAAACACUUUGAAUUCCACUUUAUUCAUUUCCUCAAAAGCUUAUCCUGCAACAUUAAAAGGUGAUGCCAAAACGAAAUUGAUUUAAGAGCAAGAAAU